GCUAUGGGAAGGGACGUCUUGCACUAGGUUGGCUUGCUCAAAGCCCUGUCCAACCUGAAUUUGAACACUUUCAGGACAAAAACUAGGCUGGAUUAGGUCCUUCGGAUAUUUUCUGCAUUAAGGCUUGAGUCACAGAGCAGCGUGAGGAUUUAGACUUCUGAAGUAGGAGUGUGAAUGGGAUUGAAGGAUUUACAUGGAGGAUUCUGAACUCCUCUCCUUCCUGCUCCAGGAAAGACAGGGCCCUGCCCUGAGACCCAUGGGUAUGAUCCAUGUGUGCUACUGAGGCUGACUCGAACGGUGUGACAA